GGAGGAUCAUUAACGCGCAGGCCGCAGACGGCCCGCCCCCGGAUGCGUCCGAGGGCGGUGCCGCCGGCCACACGCCCAUUCUUGUCUAUCUACCUGGUUGCCUCGGCGGGCCGCGCACUCGUGCCGCGCCUCGAGGAGCCGUCCGGGGACAUUUGACUCCCUGGACCGCGCCCGCCGGAGGAGUGAUUGAAAUCCAUGAAUACUGUUCAGUCUGAGCGUAAGCAAGUGAAAUCAGUUAAAACUUUCAACAACGGAUCUCUUGGUUCCGGCAUCGAUGAAGAACGCAGCGAAAUGCGAUAAGUAAUGUGAAUUGCAGAAUUCCGUGAAUCAUCGAAUCUUUGAACGCACAUUGCGCCCUCUGGUAUUCCGGGGGGCAUGCCUGUUCGAGCGUCAUUUCAACCCCUCAAGCUCGGCUUGUGUGAUGGACGACCGUCCCGCCCUCCCCGCCUCCGGGGAGGGGGACGCGCCCGAAAAGCAGUGGCCAGGCCGCGAUUCCGGCUCCUGGGCGAAUGGGCAACAAACCAGCGCCUCUAGGACCGGCCGGCUCUCUGGCCUAGUUUCCGUUAGGGAUGAAUUUCCCUACAAUCAGGUUGACCUCGGAUCAGGUAGGGAUACCCGCUGAACUUAAGCAUAUCAAAA
rnacentral:rRNA from 1 species